GUUUAAUCCUAAGAAUAAUGGAAAGCCCAAAAUCCCCAUUGGGAAAUUUUGACAACGGGAGUGGCAUGAACUAGUGUGUGCUUUGAGUAUCAUGCUCUGGCUGCUGUGUGGAGACCUGAAUGUAUGAAACAGAAGUGGAAGCAGGCUGCCCUGUCAGGAGACCCUGCGGUGUCCGUCGCUGUCGCCUGUCCUCCACACAUGGAAUUCAGCCACUGUAGACUGGCUCGUGGCCCUCCCUGAUAUGGAUCAUCACAUUUUGGAGUUCUCAGUCCUGUGUACAAAGUCCAACUAUCUGAGGCCACCAUGCACUUAGGAUGUCCAGGCCACCUGGAGAGGCUACCAGAUAUGUGUAUGAAGAAGUUGUCUUGAAAGUGGAUCUUCCAGCCCAUGUUAUUCUAGCUACAGCUGUUUGAGUCUCCUUGUACAAGCCCCAGACAUCAUGGAAUGGAGAAGAGCUGAGCCACGGUGUCCUCUCCAAAUUCUCAAUCCACAAAACUCAUGAAAAUAAUAAAAUGAUUGUGUCUUUGUGCUACUAAAUUUAGGGAAAUUUGUUAUUCAGCAAAGAUGAUUAGAACAAGAGACCACAAUUUGACUAUCAUAUUUCAGAAAUGACACAGAUCCAGAGAGGUUAAAUAAAUCAUUUUAUUCAAAUGAAGA
rnacentral:lncRNA from 1 species